GACGAACGCUGGCGGCGUGCUUAACACAUGCAAGUCGAACGGUGAAGCGAGUGCUUGCACUCGUGGAUCAGUGGCGAACGGGUGAGUAACACGUGAGUAACCUGCCCAUCACUCUGGGAUAAGCACUGGAAACGGUGUCUAAUACUGGAUACGACCAACCCAUGCAUGGGGUGCUGGUGGAAAGAUUUAUCGGUCAUGGAUGGACGCGCGGCCUAUCAGCUUGUUGGCGGGGUAAUGGCGCACCAAGGCGACGACGGGUAGCCGGCCUGCGAGGGUGACCGGCCACACUGGGACUGAGAGACGGCCCAGUCGGCUACGGGAGGCAGAAGUGGGGAAUAUUGCACAAUGGGCGAACGCCUGAUGCAGAGACGCCGCGUGAGGGAUGACGGCCUUCGGGGUGUAAACCUCUUUCUGCAGGGAAGAAGCGAAAGUGACGGUACCUGCAGAAGAAGCACCGGCUAACUACGUG
rnacentral:rRNA from 1 species